UGGGGAAUUUUGGACAAUGGGCGAAAGCCUGAUCCAGCAAUGCCGCGUGUGUGAAGAAGGCCUUCGGGUUGUAAAGCACUUUUGUCCGGAAAGAAAUCCUUGGCUCUAAUACAGUCGGGGGAUGACGGUACCGGAAGAAUAAGCACCGGCUAACUACGUGCCAGCAGCCGCGGUAAUACGUAGGGUGCAAGCGUUAAUCGGAAUUACUGGGCGUAAAGCGUGCGCAGGCGGUUUGCUAAGACCGAUGUGAAAUCCCCGGGCUCAACCUGGGAACUGCAUUGGUGACUGGCAGGCUAGAGUAUGGCAGAGGGGGGUAGAAUUCCACGUGUAGCAGUGAAAUGCGUAGAGAUGUGGAGGAAUACCGAUGGCGAAGGCAGCCCCCUGGGCCAAAUACUGACGCUCAUGCACGAAAAGCGUGGGGAGCAAAACAGGAUUAGAUACCCUGGUAGUCCACGCCCU
rnacentral:rRNA from 1 species